rnacentral:rRNA from 1 species
CCUACGGGUGGCAGCAGUGAGGAAUAUUGGUCAAUGGCCGGAAGGCUGAACCAGCCAUGCCGCGUGCAGGUCAGUGCCCUAUGGGCGUUAAACUUCUUUUGUGCGGGAGCAAUAAUGGUCACGUGUGGCCAGACGAGAGUACCGUACGAAUAAGCAUCGGCUAACUCCGUGCCAGCAGCCGCGGUAAUACGGGGGGUGCAAGCGUUAUCCGGAUUUAUUGGGUUUAAAGGGAGCGCAGGUGGGUUGUUAAGUCAGUGGUUAAAGUUUCGGGCUCAACCGGAAAAUUGCAAUGGAUACUGGCAGUCUGGAGUAGAGUUGAGGUAGGCGGAAGUCGUGGUGUAGCGGUGAAAUGCGUAGAGAUCACGAAGAAUCCCGAUGGCGAAGGCAGCUAACUAAACUGUGACUGACAUUGAGGCGCGAAAGUGUGGGUAUCAAACAGGAUUAGAUACCCGGGUAGUC